rnacentral:pre_miRNA from 1 species
ACAACAACAUUCGGACCGUCGGUCUACCGAGCAAUAUCACCCGCUCGGUGGAAGAUCUUCCCUUUGUCGUUUAUA